rnacentral:lncRNA from 1 species
AUUCUCCUGGAUUGUUGAAAACUUGCAUAUUCAUCGAUAUUUGAUUUUGUGGUUUUAACAAUCCAGACAGACAAAUAGCAAUAAGGUGUUUAGGAAAACAUGACCUAAAACCUCCUUCAUAUAAGACAAAAAUACAUGGGAACUCAUACUGAAUGGUCAAAUGUGUUCAAUAUGAAAAUUGCAGUUAAGAUGGUAAAAUCACAAAUCAGCCGUUACUGUAAAUGGACUAAAAGUAUGACUUUUGAGCAAAUUUAAAGGGAAAUGACAGGGAAGGGGCCAAAUAGUGUUCAAGGGGAGCAAAUGCCCUUUAAUUUGGUAUGCAGGUUUCAAAAAUAGAGGGAGAAUUAGAGG